AACCAGAAGGCGCAAUGAAAGUGAAGGCACGGCUGCCGUGCUGAGGUGAGAGCCGGCCCAAAUGGGACGGCACAUCAUCGACCGAUCCCAUCCGCACUGCUCGCAGUGCGGCGGGAUUCGAGUGAGAGUGUACCUGUUGCGACCCGAAAGAUGGUGAACUAUGCCUGAAUAGGGUGAAGCCAGAGGAAACUCUGGUGGAGGCCCGUAGCGAUUCUGACGUGCAAAUCGAUCGUCAAAUUUGGGUAUAGGGGCGAAAGACUAAUCGAACCAUCUAGUAGCUGGUUCCCUCCGAAGUUUCCCUCAGGAUAGCUGUAGCCCGAAGCAGUUUUAUCAGGUAAAGCGAAUGAUUAGAGGUAUCGGGGAAGAAACUUCCUCGACCUAUUCUCAAACUUUAAAUAGGUAAGAAGUCCGACUUGCUCAAUCUGAAGCCGGACACAGAAUGCUGGGUUACUAGUGGGCCAUUUUUGGUAAGCAGAACUGGCGAUGCGGGAUGAACCGAACGCAGAGUUAAGGUGCCAAAGUCGACGCUCAUCAGAUCCCACAAA
rnacentral:rRNA from 1 species